GAUGAACGCUGGCGGCGUGCCUAAUACAUGCAAGUCGAGCGAACGGACGAGAAGCUUGCUUCUCUGAUGUUAGCGGCGGACGGGUGAGUAACACGUGGAUAACCUACCUAUAAGACUGGGAUAACUUCGGGAAACCGUAGCUAAUACCGGAUAAUAUUUUGAACCGCAUGGUUCAAAAGUGAAAGACGGUCUUGCUGUCACUUAUAGAUGGAUCCGCGCUGCAUUAGCUAGUUGGUAAGGUAACGGCUUACCAAGGCAACGAUGCAUAGCCGACCUGAGAGGGUGAUCCGCCACACUGGAACUGAGACACGGUCCAGACUCCUACGGGAGGCAGCAGUAGGGAAUCUUGCGCAAUGGGCGAAAGCCUGACGCAGCAACGCCGCGUGAGUGAUGAAGGUCUUCGGAUCGUAAAGCUCUGUUAGUAGGGAAGAAAAUAUGUGUACGAAACCGUGCACAGGUUGACGGUACCUAAACAGAAAGCACCGGCUAACUACGUG
rnacentral:rRNA from 1 species